rnacentral:misc_RNA from 1 species
AGAAAAUCCAAGAAAACAAAAAAAUCUAUCGCCGCUCUUCUCCUCCUCCGAUCUUUUCCUGGCGCCUGGCCUUAUCUGCCGCCGUCCCCUCCCCUGGAUUUUUCCCCAGCCGCGUGCCAUGCUUCUUCCUCCUCUCCUCUGCGCGGUGCUCUUGCUGCAGCCCCAGGUCGCCAAGUCCCUGCUCCAGCCCCAGGUCGCCAAGUUCCUGCUCCAGCCCCAUCUCCUCCUUCCUCCCUGCAGCUCCCGCGCGCGCUCCAAUCUUCUUUCCCCUGCGCGCGAGCUCCGCGGUCUCCCUGCUCCCUCGCGGCGUCCUGCUGGCCGGCGCUUGGACUGCGGCCAAGCUCCUCCAUGUCACGCCCCUUUCUCUUUCUCGAGUCUCUUUGUCGCGCCCUACGCGUCCUUGCUUCUCCCUCCCUCUACCCGUUUCCAUGGUCGUCGCCCUGUCUUGCCUUCCGUUGCCGCAUCGAGCUCGUCAAGAACUCGUCCUCGUUGGCCAUGGCAUGCUGUGACCGCGGGGACCGGGUGUACUGGCAGGUGCGCUUCCCCAAGCGCUGCUCCCUGCGCUCGUCGCGCGCCCAGUGCUCCCUCUAUCAGUUCGCCCCAGCUCGGAUCUCCCUGGUGCUCGCCUCCAGUCCCUGCGUCGUGGUUUUUCCCCCAAGCUCCCUUCCAUGGAGCUCAGUUUUCUUCCUCUCCCUCCGUGCGCGCAGAUGUUCCGCCAGAAGAUCCAGUCUCCAGGCCCCGCGCUCCUCGGACUCGGCCUGGCAUUGCAGCUCGUCGAUGCACUGCUCCUGGCCACACGGUGGUUCUACGCGCCGUGGAACCCUGCCUAUGCCCUCUCGCACCCAUCCCUGGUGCCGCGCUUGCUCAACUCACCAUGUCCGCCGAGCUCCAUAGUCAACGUGGCAGGCUGCCGUCCUCACGCGCCGGAUGCACUCUGUGCGUCCAACUCCCUAAGUCGCAUGCCCCUUAGCUCUAGAUGCUGAGCAGCAGGCCGUGCGCUGGACCCGCACCCUUCCUUCGCGAGUGUUCAUCGCGCCUUGCCUGCUUGUGCUCAGGCCUUCACCACCGAUGUUGUGAAGUUUGCCGUAACGUCGUACUGG